GGUAUUUCUUCAGCCUGACGUUACAAGGAAGCCGAAAGCUGCUCUGAUGGGUGCUCAGAAUGUCCUUGUGUCUGAGGAUGGAUGGGCCUCCCCCUGUCUUUCAAGGAAGUUACUUUGUUCCAGUUGUCAAUGGUCACUGAUGUCAUGAAGAGCCAGGGAAGAGGUACAAGGAGGAGAAAGACUGUAGAGACGAGAGUCUGUUUGGAUGCUGAUGGAUGGCAGACUGUCGAUCCUUGAAGGAGUGAGGCAAUACUGAUGUGAUCAGCUCCCAACAAGUAGCUUCUAAGGCAUGGCUUGUAUGAUCAUGGACCCUAGCCAGUCUAUGAGAGCAAAGAGAAGCCGGGUGAGUGGAAAGGCAAAGAGUCACUUAUUUUUUUCGUUAAGAGGAAAGUAGAUAUUCCACAUGUAUGAUUUAUGAUUGUUUAUCAUGAAAGAUUCCUGACUUUGUGGGCCUCAUGCACAUCUCCAUUUUCUGGUUUGGGUUUAGAAAAAGCCAUAUAGCAAAUGUGGCAGAGUCACCGGGGGGGGGGGGGACUUAAAUGGUCAGACUUCCUUUGCCAGCCUUCAUAGGGCAAGGUAGGGUGCAGACUGGACAGGAAGCAGAGAGACCUCUGUUGCCUGUGUAGGAGCUCCUUCUUCAGGCCAGGUAUUAUGCUGGGUACUUUCCAUAUGUGGAAA
rnacentral:lncRNA from 1 species